GUGCCAGCAGCCGCGGUAAUACGUAGGGUACAAGCGUUGUCCGGAAUUAUUGGGCGUAAAGAGCUCGUAGGUGGUUUGUCGCGUCUGCUGUGGAAACGCAAGGCUCAACCUUGCGCGUGCAGUGGGUACGGGCGGACUAGAGUGCAGUAGGGGAGUCUGGAAUUCCUGGUGUAGCGGUGAAAUGCGCAGAUAUCAGGAGGAACACCGGUGGCGAAGGCGGGACUCUGGGCUGUUACUGACGCUGAGGAGCGAAAGCAUGGGGAGCGAACAGGAUUAGAUACCCUGGUAGUCC
rnacentral:rRNA from 1 species